CACGUAGUUAGCCGUGGCUUUCUGGUAAGGUACCGUCAGAUCAGUAUCAUUUCCUCUACCGAUUUUUCUUCCCUUACAACAGAGCUUUACAACCCGAAGGCCUUAAUCACUCACGCGGCGUUGCUCGGUCAGGCUUGCGCCCAUUGCCGAAAAUUCCCUACUGCUGCCUCCCGUAGGAGUCUGGGCCGUGUCUCAGUCCCAGUGUGGCCGGUCACCCUCUCAGGUCGGCUACGCAUCAUCGUCUUGGUAGGCCGUUACCCCACCAACUAACUAAUGCGCCAUAAACUCAUCCAUUUGUGUAGAAAACCUACUUUAAUUAAUCGAAGAUGCCUUCAAUUAACCUAUCCGGUAUUAGCUAUCGUUUCCAAUAGUUAUCCCAGUCAUAUGGGCAGAUUAUUUAUGUAUUACUCACCCGUUCGCCACUAAGAACUAGCAAGCUAGUUCUUCGUUCGACUUGCAUGUAUUAGGCACGCCGCCAGCGUUCAUCCUGAGCCAGGAUCAAACUC
rnacentral:rRNA from 1 species